GAUGAACGCUAGCUACAGGCUUAACACAUGCAAGUCGAGGGGCAGCACAGUGUAGCAAUACAUGGGUGGCGACCGGCGCACGGGUGCGUAACGCGUAUCCAACCUUCCCGUUACUCAGGGAUAGCCUUCCGAAAGGGAGAUUAAUACCUGAUGGUGUUGAAAUUUCGCAUGAAAGCUCCGGCGAUGAAGGAUGGGGAUGCGUUCCAUUAGGUAGUAGGCGGGGUAACGGCCCACCUAGCCAACGAUGGAUAGGGGUUCUGAGAGGAAGGUCCCCCACACUGGAACUGAGACACGGUCCAGACUCCUACGGGAGGCAGCAGUGAGGAAUAUUGGUCAAUGGGCGCAAGCCUGAACCAGCCAAGUAGCGUGAAGGAUGACUGCCCUAUGGGUUGUAAACUUCUUUUAUACGGGAACAAACCUUGGUACGCGUACCAAAUUGCGUGUACCGUAUGAAUAAGCAUCGGCUAACUCCGUG
rnacentral:rRNA from 1 species